GGGCCAUAGCUCAGUGGUAGAACGCCUGUUUUGCAUGCAGAUGGUCCCAGGUUCAAUCCCCAGCAUCUCCA